rnacentral:misc_RNA from 1 species
CGGAGACCUAAGUUCAAUGAAAUAUCCUCAAGGAUAUCACUGAUAUGAUAGAUCAGUCCAUUGGCUUCUUCUACCCAUGCAAUCGAUGACUUAUAGUGUGUGCUGUCCCAUAAAUAUGCACGACUACACUCCAUUCUAUAAACCAUUCCUUGAAGUUUAAGGAACAUCCUGUCUAGUUUCCGUAGCUCAGUACUAACAUUUAAAAUUUUGCUUACUUCAUCGAUAGCAAACUCUGUAAAAUUCGCAAAUAGAAUGGAGAACGUAUAUGAUGCAAAACCAGCUCGAAAAUCCUCAUCCAUUGGAUAAAAGUUCUUGGUUUUAGAGCUUUGACAAUGGCAGUCACGGUAUUGGUGCUUAGGUCCGGAGCUAGGCGGUUGAAUUGACAAUGGAGACAGACUGUAGGAGAUAUAGAGUGGAAACAGCACUGGCGGUGGUCGUCG